GACAGAGGGUGCAAACGUUGUUCGGAAUUACUGGGCGUAAAGCGCGUGUAGGCUGCUCUGCAAGUCGGAUGUGAAAGCCCUGGGCUCAACCUAGGAAGUGCAUUCGAAACUGCAGAGCUGGAGUCCUGGAGAGGAAGGCGGAAUUCUCGGUGUAGAGGUGAAAUUCGUAGAUAUCGAGAGGAACACCGGUGGCGAAGGCGGCCUUCUGGACAGUGACUGACGCUGAGACGCGAAAGCGUGGGGAGCGAACAGG
rnacentral:rRNA from 1 species